UCGGACAUGGUGUAUGGUACACGGCCUCCCAACAUACUGUGAUACGCAAAAGCAGAUUGUUGGAAGCAGAGCGGGGUUCGACUCCCCGUGUCCGAA